rnacentral:misc_RNA from 1 species
AAACUUUUGGUUUCAGAUAGACGUUGUGAAUGGGCAACUGAUGGAUUGCGGUUUCUCUGGUCUAGGGCAUCAGAAAGCUGUUGCUUUAAGGACACAAUUGCUUCUUGUAGAUUCUCACAUUCAUGGGUCUUUUUAUUUAGCUGGUCCUGAAUUAUUCGAUUAUCAGCAGCUCUAACCUCAAGUUCAAAAGACUUCUCAUUCAACUGUGCCAAGAGCUCAGCAACAGAAACAGUUUCUUCCUGGUUAUCCAUCUUAUCAGAAGGGCUAAUAAUGGACUCA